UACAGAGGGUGCAAGCGUUGUCCGGAUUGACUGGGCGUACAGCGCGCGCAGGCGGAGGCGUAUGUGCCGUGUGACAGUCGGGAGCUUAACUCCCGCCGGCCACGGUAGACAGCGCUCCUGGAGGCAGGGAGAGGGAUGUGGAAUACCCGGUGGAGCGGUGAAAUGCGUAGAGAUCGGGUGGAACACCAGGGGCGAAGGCGACAUCCUGGCCCUGACCUGACGCUGAGGCGCGAGAGCGUGGGGAGCGAACCGG
rnacentral:rRNA from 1 species